CUACGGGCGGCAGCAGUAGGGAAUAUUGGACAAUGGGCGAAAGCCUGAUCCAGCAACGCCGCGUGUGCGAUGACGGCCUUCGGGUUGUAAAGCACUUUUAGAGGAGAUGAGAAAGGACAGUAUCCUCAGAAUAAGCCUCGGCGAACUACGUGCCAGCAGCCGCGGUAAAACGUAGGAGGCAAGCGUUAUCCGGAUUUAUUGGGCGUAAAGCGCGUGCAGGCGGUCUAGCAAGUUGGAUGUGAAAGCUCCCGGCUUAACCGGGAGAGGUCGUUCAAUACUGUUAGACUAGAGAAUGGGAGAGGGAGGUGGAAUUCUGGGUGUAGUGGUGAAAUGCGUAGAUAUCCAGAGGAACACCAGUGGCGAAAGCGGCCUCCUGGACCAUUUCUGACGCUAAGACGCGAAAGCUAGGGUAGCAAACGGGAUUAGAUACCCUCGUAGUC
rnacentral:rRNA from 1 species